CUGUUGCUCGAAAAAGGCAGCUUGCUGGAAUGUAUCAGUGGCGAACGGUUGAGUAACACGUGAGCAACCUGCCCCAAACUCUGGAAUAAGCGCUGGAAACGGCGUCUAAUACUGGAUACGAGACCAACCUGCAUGGGUAUGGUUUGGAAAGUUUUUCGGUUUGGGAUGGGCUCGCGGCCUAUCAGCUUGUUGGUGAGGUAAUGGCUCACCAAGGCGACGACGGGUAGCCGGCCUGAGAGGGCGACCGGCCACACUGGGACUGAGACACGGCCCAGACUCCUACGGGAGGCAGCAGUGGGGAAUAUUGCACAAUGGGCGAAAGCCUGAUGCAGCGACGCCGCGUGAGGGAUGACGGCCUUCGGGUUGUAAACCUCUUUCAGCAGGGAAGAAGCGAAAGUGACGGUACCUGCAGAAGAAGCACCGGCUAACUACGUGCCAGCAGCCGCGGUAAUACGUAGGGUGCGAGCGUUGUCCGGAAUUAUUGGGCGUAAAGAGCUUGUAGGCGGUUUGUCGCGUCUGCUGUGAAAAUCCGGGGCUCAACCCCGGACUUGCAGUGGGUACGGGCAGACUAGAGUGUGGUAGGGGAGACUGGAAUUCCUGGUGUAGCGGUGAAAUGCGCAGAUAUCAGGAGGAAC
rnacentral:rRNA from 1 species